rnacentral:rRNA from 1 species
GACGGAGGGUGCAAGCGUUGUUCGGAAUUACUGGGCGUAAAGGGCGCGUAGGCGGGCUAUUAAGUCAGUGGUGAAAGCCCCAGCUUAACUUGGGAACUGCCAUUGAUACUGAUGGUCUUGAGUACAUUUGAGGUGGGCGGAAUGUGUCAUGUAGCGGUGAAAUGACUUAGAUAUGACACAGAACACCGAUUGCGAAGGCAGCUCACUAAACUGUAACUGACGCUGAGGCACGAAAGCGUGGGGAGCAAACAGG